rnacentral:rRNA from 1 species
AACGAACGCUGGCGGCAUGCCUAACACAUGCAAGUCGAACGAGACCUUCGGGUCUAGUGGCGCACGGGUGCGUAACGCGGGGGAAUCUGCCCUUCGGUUUGGAAUAACUGAGAGAAAUUUCAGCUAAUACCUUAUAAUGUCUUCGGACCAAAGAUUUAUCGCCGAGGGAUGAGCCCGCGUAGGAUUAGGUAGUUGGUGGGGUAAUGGCCUACCAAGCCGACGAUCCUUAGCUGGUCUGAGAGGAUGAUCAGCCACACUGGGACUGAGACACGGCCCAGACUCCUACGGGAGGCAGCAGUGGGUAAUAUUGGACAAUGGGCGAAGUCCUGAUCCAGCAAUGCCGCGUGAGUGAUGAAGGCCUUAGGGUUGUAAAGCUCUUUUACCCGGGAUGAUAAUGACAGUACCGGGAGAAUAAGCUCCGGCUAACUCCGUG